rnacentral:rRNA from 1 species
GGUUGACCUCGGAUCAGGUAGGGAUACCCGCUGAACUUAAGCAUAUCAAUAAGCGGAGGAAAAGAAACCAACAGGGAUUGCCUCAGUAACGGCGAGUGAAGCGGCAAGAGCUCAAAUUUGAAAGCUGGCCCCCUCGGGGUCCGCGUUGUAAUUUGCAGAGGAUGCUUCGGGUGCAGCCCCCGUCUAAGUGCCCUGGAACGGGCCGUCAUAGAGGGUGAGAAUCCCGUCUGGGACGGGGUGUCUGCGUCCGUGUGAAGCUCCUUCGACGAGUCGAGUUGUUUGGGAAUGCAGCUCUAAAUGGGUGGUAAAUUUCAUCUAAAGCUAAAUACUGGCCGGAGACCGAUAGCGCACAAGUAGAGUGAUCGAAAGAUGAAAAGCACUUUGAAAAGAGAGUUAAACAGCACGUGAAAUUGUUGAAAGGGAAGCGUUUGCGACCAGACUCGCCCGCGGGGUUCAGCCGGCAUUCGUGCCGGUGUACUUCCCCGUGGGCGGGCCAGCGUCGGUUUGGGCGGCCGGUCAAAGGCCCUCGGAAUGUAUCACCUCUCGGGGUGUCUUAUAGCCGAGGGUGCAAUGCGGCCUGCCCGGACCGAGGAACGCGCUUCGGCUCGAACGCUGGAGUAAUGGUCGUAAAUGACC